UACGUAGGGGGCAAGCGUUAUCCGGAUUUACUGGGUGUAAAGGGAGCGUAGACGGUUAGGUAAGUCUGAUGUGAAAGCCCGGGGCUCAACCCCGGGACUGCAUUGGAAACUAUUUAACUAGAGUGUAGGAGAGGUAAGUGGAAUUCCUAGUGUAGCGGUGAAAUGCGUAGAUAUUAGGAGGAACACCAGUGGCGAAGGCGGCUUACUGGACUGUAACUGACGUUGAGGCUCGAAAGCGUGGGGAGCAAACAGG
rnacentral:rRNA from 1 species